rnacentral:rRNA from 1 species
GACGAACGCCGGCGGCGUGCUUAACACAUGCAAGUCGAACGAUGAAGCUAGAGCUUGCUCUGGUGGAUUAGUGGCGAACGGGUGAGUAACACGUGAGUAACCUGCCCCGAACUCUGGGAUAACUGCUGGAAACGGUAGCUAAUACUGGAUACGACCAACGAAGGCAUCUUCUGUUGGUGGAAAGAAUUUCGGUUCGGGAUGGACUCGCGGCCUAUCAGCUUGUUGGUGAGGUAACGGCUCACCAAGGCGACGACGGGUAGCCGGCCUGAGAGGGUGAUCGGCCACACUGGGACUGGGACACGGCCCAGACUCCUACGGGAGGCAGCAGUGGGGAAUAUUGCACAAUGGGCGCAAGCCUGAUGCAGCAACGCCGCGUGAGGGACGACGGCCUUCGGGUUGUAAACCUCUUUUAGUAGGGACGAAGCGAAAGUGACGGUACCUAAAGAAGAAGCACCGGCUAACUACGUGCCAGCAGCCGCGGUAA